CCUACGGGGGGCUGCAGUGGGGAAUAUUGGACAAUGGGGGGAACCCUGAUCCAGCCAUGCCGCGUGUGUGAAGAAGGCCCUCGGGUUGUAAAGCACUUUCAGUGAGGAAGAACGCCUGGUGGUUAAUACCCAUCAGGAAAGACAUCACUCACAGAAGAAGCACCGGCUAACUCCGUGCCAGCAGCCGCGGGAAUAUGGAGGGUGCGAGCGUUAAUCGGAAUUACUGGGCGUAAAGCGCGCGUAGGUGGCUUGAUAAGCCGGUUGUGAAAGCCCCGGGCUCAACCUGGGAACGGCAUCCGGAACUGUCAAGCUAGAGUGCAGGAGAGGAAGGUAGAAUUCCCGGUGUAGCGGUGAAAUGCGUAGAGAUCGGGAGGAAUACCAGUGGCGAAGGCGGCCUUCUGGACUGACACUGACACUGAGGUGCGAAAGCGUGGGUAGCAAACAGGAUUAGAUACCCCUGUAGUC
rnacentral:rRNA from 1 species